rnacentral:rRNA from 1 species
AUUGAACGCUGGCGGCAUGCCUUACACAUGCAAGUCGAACGGCAGCACGGGAGCAAUCCUGGUGGCGAGUGGCGAACGGGUGAGUAAAGUAUCGGAACGUGCCCAGUCGUGGGGGAUAACGUAGCGAAAGUUACGCUAAUACCGCAUACGAUCUAUGGAUGAAGGCGGGGGAUCGCAAGACCUCGCGCGAUUGGAGCGGCCGAUAUCAGAUUAGGUAGUUGGUGGGGUAAAGGCUCACCAAGCCGACGAUCUGUAGCUGGUCUGAGAGGACGACCAGCCACACUGGGACUGAGACACGGCCCAGACUCCUACGGGAGGCAGCAGUGGGGAAUUUUGGGCAAUGGGCGAAAGCCUGAUCCAGCCAUGCCGCGUGCAGGAUGAAGGCCUUCGGGUUGUAAACUGCUUUUGUACGGAACGAAAAGGUUUGGCCUAAUAAGCUGAGCUCAUGACGGUACCGUAAGAAUAAGCACCGGCUAACUUCGUGCCAGCCGCCGCCGUAA